CUGAGUUUUCUAAACUCCCAAACCCAUGUGAACAUACCUUUUGUUGCCUCGGCAGUGGUGCCGUCGCCCCUCGCGGCGGCGGCAGCCUGCCGGCGGACCCAAUAAACUCUUGUUGUUACAGUGUCAUUCUGAAUUAAAAAACUUAAUUAGUUA
rnacentral:misc_RNA from 2 species